rnacentral:lncRNA from 1 species
AGAAGUGAAGACAAAUCUGAAAUGAGAAUGCCUGACUUCCUGUAGUAUAAGAUCUUUUCUCCAACCAACAGUUUUUCCAUGUCACAUUUCAGGAACCAAUCAUUGUUCCUUAAUUUGUCUAGCAAAGCCUGGGAAAGGAGGGGGGCAGUGCUUGUGGGAUCCACUUCUCAUCUUUGAGGGUGUGAACUUCCUUUUCUAGUAAAAGAUUCUUCAAGUACCUGACUGACUAUGUGUGAAAGAAGGGGUAAUCCAAGUACUGAUUAAGUUAAGAUAAACAAAGGGAGUUUAAAUUUCCUUUCACAAUAGGUUGGGCCAAAAUGAAUGAACAAUUAUUAGCAUAGAGAUAUUAAUUAAUUCCAUGGAAGCUGAUACAUCACCAAGUGAAUUAUUUUAGAGAGAGAAGAAAAGAGGGUCCAGGACAGAGUCCUGAAGGACACUCACAGUUAGGAGUUAUGAUUUGGAUGAGUAUUCAGCAAAGGAAACUGAGGGCAGAUAGGCAGGAGCAUAAUCAGGAGACUCUGUUGCCUCAAAAUUCUAGAGAACAAAGAAAGUCAAGGAAGAGAGGGUGAUAACAGUCAAAGAUUGUAGAGAGAUCAAGGAUAAUGAAGAUUGAGAAAAAGCCAUUGGAUUUUAAAAGCACUCUCAGUGGAAUGAUGUUUGUGAACAGCAACAGCCUUCUUGAUCAAGUGAUAAAAUUCUUCAAGAAGAAAAGGGGAAAUCUUCAGAGUUCAGUAGUCUCAAAACUUUGUUGCUGUGCUUGGACUAUAUCAUGGAAACCUUUAGAAUCAUGUGAACCUACAAGAGAGCCUUCUUGGACAGUUUGGAAUUUGCUCCCUCCGAAUGAAAAUACCCCAGCUUUGCACAAUGCCUGACACAUUCAUAAGGGAUAAGCAAUAUUGUAACGAUGAUCAACUGUGAAACACUCUAUUCCAUACAAUGAUCUGAGACAAUUUCCAAAGAACCCAUGAUGACAAAUACUGUAUCUACCUC